rnacentral:rRNA from 1 species
GACGAACGCUGGCGGCGUGCUUAACACAUGCAAGUCGAACGUUGACGACCGAGCUUGCUCGGUCUGAUUAGUGGCGAACGGGUGAGUAACACGUGAGCAACCUGCCCUUCACUCUGGGAUAACCUCGGGAAAUCGGGGCUAAUACCGGAUAUGAGCUCCUGUCGCAUGGCGGGUGUUGGAAAGUGUUUCGGUGAAGGAUGGGCUCGCGGCCUAUCAGUUUGUUGGUGAGGUAGUGGCUCACCAAGGCGAUGACGGGUAGCCGGCCUGAGAGGGCGACCGGCCACACUGGGACUGAGACACGGCCCAGACUCCUACGGGAGGCAGCAGUGGGGAAUAGUGCACAAUGGGCGAAAGCCGGAUGCAGCGACGCCGCGUGAGGGAUGACGGCCUUCGGGUUGUAAACCUCUUUCAGCAGGGAAGAAGCGAAAGUGACGGUACCUGCAGAAGAAGCGCCGGCUAACUACGUG